rnacentral:rRNA from 1 species
AGUGAACGCUGGCGGUAGGCCUAACACAUGCAAGUCGAACGGCAGCACAGUAAGAGCUUGCUCUUACGGGUGGCGAGUGGCGGACGGGUGAGGAAUACAUCGGAAUCUACUUUUUCGUGGGGGAUAACGUAGGGAAACUUACGCUAAUACCGCAUACGACCUACGGGUGAAAGCAGGGGAUCUUCGGACCUUGCGCGAUUGAAUGAGCCGAUGUCGGAUUAGCUAGUUGGCGGGGUAAAGGCCCACCAAGGCGACGAUCCCUAGCUGGUCUGAGAGGAUGACCAGCGACAGUGGAACGGAGAAAAGGUAAAGACGCCGACGGGAGCAAGAAGUGGGGAAUAUUGGACAGUGGGCGCGAGCCUGAUGCAGCCAUGCCGCGUGUAUGAAGAAGACCGGAGGGUUGUAAAGUACUUGCUGCGGGGAGGAAGGGAGUAAAGUCAAUACCUUUUAUCAUUGACGUGGCCGGCAGAAGAAGCACCGGCUAACUCCGUG